CGCGCCGCUCUAUGCGUGGCACGAGAAGCCCGCGGAACGCAUCGCGCCCGCGGCGAGCGUGCAUGAGACGCUGCGCUCGAUCGAGGCCAGCGCCGCGCAAUGGACGGCGCUCGCGGGCGCAACGAGCACCGCCGCAACGCCGGUGACGGCGCGCGAAUCGAUAGCGGCGCCGGCUGCGCCGUCGGGCGGUGCGGCCGCAUCGGCCGCGCGGGAUGGUCGCGCGCCGACGAGCGCGGAAACGGCCGCACCGGACGGCCACGCGCCGACGAGCGCGGAAACGGUCGCGCCGGACGGCCACGUGCCGACGAGCGCGGAAACGGCCGCGCCGGACGGCCACGUGCCGACGAGCGCGGAAACGGCCGCGCCGAACGACCAUGCGUCGACGAGCGCGGAAACGGUCGCGCCGGACAGCCACGCGCCGACGAGCGCGGAAACGGCCGCGCCGGACGGCCAUGCGUCGACGAUCACGGAAGCGACCGCGCCGAACGGCCACGUGUCGGCGACCGUAGAAACAUCCGCUGUCGCCGCGCCCGCAGGCAUCACUCAAGCCGCGCCGCCCAUCGCCGCCGACAUCUGCCCUGCCGGCGAGCACGUGAUCGCCGCCGUCGAACCGGCGUGCACCUCGGAUUCCGCCGCCAUCGGCGCCGGCGCGAUCGCCCAUGCCGAAGCCGGCGCGGCUGCUUCGACCGCCGAGACCGCUUCCCCCAUCGGCGCGGACACGCACAUCGCACCCAGCCGCGAAGCGGACCGCACCGCUCAGACAGCGCCGACCGCGCCAAGCCCGGCCGAAGCAACGCCUCAUGUCGACGCGCCACACGCGCUCGAUGUCGCCGCUCGCGCCCUCGUCGGAAACACCGCCGCCACCGCGCACGGCGCCGCGGCCGUCAACGGAUCGGCGCAACGCGCCGACACCGCGUCGCCUGCCGCAUCGACGAGCGGCCCCCCCGCCCCUGUCGCGGCAUCGGCCGCCUCGAGCGAUCGCGCAGCCCCGCAACCCGUUGCCACGGCGGCGCCGGCGUCGAUUGCAACGUCCGGGGCUCUCGGCACGAUGAAGGCGAGCGGCACUGCCGGCCCUCAACCGUCAACCAUCGCCGCGCAGCGUGCAUCGGCCAUCGACGAUACCGGCCAGCCGCCGUCGACAGGACAUUCGACGCAUGCCGCCGUCUCGAACGAGCUCGGGCGGCGGCCCCAUGCCGCGCCAGACGCCGUCACGCCGGUAUUGCCGCCUGCCGCCGCGGCCGUGCCGACGAACGCGAGCGCCGUGCAACGUCAGGCGCUGGCGAGCGAGAGCGCCGAGGCCGCCCAAGGCGUCGCGAGAGCAGCGGCCGCCGGCGACUCGCGCGAGACGACGCAGGUGUCGCCCGCAGGCGCCAGGCCAGACGGAGCCGCCCCGAGCGCCGCCGUGGCGAACCCGAUCGCGCCGUUGCCGGACGCAUCGGCCAUCACGGCACACGAGGAUGCGCCGACGAGCGCCGCGCCAGACGCCGCGACUCCGGUCAUUGCCGCGAUGGAUAGCGCCAUGCCAAACGCGGUCGCUCCCGCGUCAGCAAUCGCGUCGAACGCGGGCAUGUCGCCCGCUAGCGCAUCGGCUGCCGCGCCACGCAUGGCCUCGGCACCGGCAUCGGCCGCCGUGCCGGACGCGCAUCCCCCGCUCCCCCGCGCAGCGGCCGCCGUGCCGGGCGUCGCUUCGAUCGGUAUGGCCGCGCCCGGCGUCAUCGUGACGAACGCGGCCACCGCGCUUCCCGCCGCACCGGGCCGGAUCGCAUCGCCCGCCGGCGCGUCGGCCGUCGCGCCCGGCGCGAUUACGCCGAACGCCGCCUCGACGGAUGUCGCACCGGCCGCCGCCCCGGCAAGCGACGUUUCACCGAACGUUGUGCCCGCACCGGCAGUCGGGGCGAACGCGAGCGUGCCGCCCGCCGGCGCAUCGUCCGCCGCCCGCCACGUGAAUGCGCCGAUGGUCGCUUCGACGGGCGCGGCAGCGCCCGCGCCGUCCAUUCCGUCGUCGCUGCCGCCGUCGACCGUCACGUCGAACGCCGAGAGGCGGGCCACCACCACCGCCCCCACCGCCGCCCCGGCCGGUCUCGCCCCGAAUCCGGUAGCCGCGUCGAGCUUUGUCGCACCGACGACCAGCGCAGCGCCUGGCCAAUUUGCGCCAGCCGCGACGGCUCCCGCCGACAACGCCCCCGCCGCCGCCGAGGCCCCGCCCGGUCGCGUGCCGAAUCCGCCGGCCGGGGCGGGCUUCGUCACGCCCACCAGCCCAACGCCCGGCCCACUCCCGCCCGCCGCCGAGACGCCGGCCGCCACCGCGACACCCACCGCGCCCCCGCCCGGCCUCGCCCCGAAUCCGCCGGCCGGGGCAGGCUUCGCCGCGACACCGGAGGCUGUCGCCCACCCCUUCGGCAAUCCGAGCGCUCCCGCACCGGGCGCGAUCCCCGAGUCGCCCGCCACGGCGCCAAGCGUUGCGCUCACGGCAAACGGCACCGAAGCGCCGGGCGCACCGCAAGCCUUCGCUCCGUCGCCCGUUCCCGCGAUGCCGGCGGCCCCCGCCGCGGCCGACCCGGCGAGCGCCGCCCCCGCCGCCGAGCCGGUCCGCCCGAGCCGCCCGCCCGCGCCGAACGCGUUCGAGUUCCACGCGCCCGCCGCGUCGAACGUGGAGCUGCCGACGCUCGACCUGCUCGAGCCCGCGUCCGACACGAUCGAGGCGAUCUCCGACGAGCACCUCGCGCAAACCGGCCAGAUCAUCGAGCAGCGCCUGCAGGAGUUCAAGGUGCCGGUGACGGUCGUCGGCGCGUCGGCGGGCCCGGUGAUCACGCGCUUCGAGAUCGAGCCCGCGCUCGGCGUGCGCGGCAGCCAGAUCGUCGGCCUGAUGAAGGAUCUGUCGCGCGGCCUCGGCCUCACGUCGAUCCGCGUCGUCGAGACGAUCCCCGGCAAGACCUGCAUGGGCCUCGAGCUGCCGAACGCGAAGCGCCAGAUGAUCCGCCUGUCGGAAAUCCUCGCGUCGCGCCAGUACCAG
rnacentral:rRNA from 1 species